rnacentral:lncRNA from 1 species
UUUCAUGCGUGUAAGGCUUAAAAUGGAUAUACUUAAUAUGUACCUACCAAGAUUGAUUUAUGGGAAGGCAAUGACAUGUUUGGGGUCAAAAUCCUUCUCUCUCUCUCUCUCUCUCUCUCUCUCUCUCUCUCUCUCUCUCUCUCUCUCUCUCCUUACCUCCUAUAGAUUUAAAGAAAAUAAGAUGCUUGAGAAAAAUUGCUUUUAUAAUUUUGGUGAGUUUGUCACUAAAUGUGUGUUGUGCAUCUUUUACGUAAAUUUGGUAAAUGCUUAGAAACUUAACAGGUUUCAUACCUGUGUACAUUAAAGAGAGUACAACCAUAUUUGGUGAUUUCUUUAUCAAUUAUCACAACCCUUGACUAAUCUCAAACUAUUUGAGAUGUUGACAUUUGGCACUCUUCAGAACUCUUCAGAACCAGAUGAAAAAGAGAUAGAAAGCAAAACGGAAUUUGUUGCUGCUUCGCGUAAUCUGUAGUUCAAUCUAACAUUGUUGUGCAUGCUUGUCAAAGUCCUGUGAUUUUCUCUCCAAAAUAUCCAAUGCUCCUUUUUCAAGGAAGCGUCAAUUACACUGUCCACUUCGUUACACCAUACUACCACAUAUUCUAUCUUUAAUUGCCUCAAUUAUUGUAGGCAUCGCCAACCCAUUAUUAUCAGGGAAACCCGAAACUCAAUUUUCUCGCUGUCUUGCUUUUACU